CAGCCGCGGUAAUUCCAGCUCCAAUAGCGUAUAUUAAAGUUGUUGCAGUUAAAAAAGCUCGUAGUUGAAUUUCGGGAUCAAUAUUUCGGUCAUGCCGUUGGUAUGCACUGUUAUCAGUGAUUUCUCACCUUCUAAAAGAACCGUAAUGCCAUUAAUUUGGUGUUACGUGGAAUUAGGACUGUUACCUUGAAAAAAUUAGAGUGUUUAAAGCAGGCUCACGCUUGAAUACAUUAGCAUGGAAUAAUGAAAUAGGACAUCCGAUUCUAUUUUUGUUUGGUUUUCUAGGAUCGAUGUAAUGAUUAAUAGGGAUAGGUUGGGGGCAUUAGUAUUCAAUUGUCAGAGGUGAAAAUUUCUUGGGAUUUUAUUGAAGACUAAACUACUGCGAAAGCAUUUGCCAAGGAUGUUUUCAUUAAUCAAGAACGAAAGUUAGGGAUCGAAGACGAUCAGAUACCGUCGUAGUCUUAACCAUAAACUAUGCCGACUAGGGAUCGGAUGAUGUUAAUUUUAUAAUGACUCAUUUGGCACCUUACGGGAAAC
rnacentral:rRNA from 1 species